GACGAACGCUGGCGGCGUGCUUAACACAUGCAAGUCGAACGGAAAGGCCCUGCUUUUGUGGGGUUCUCGAGUGGCGAACGGGUGAGUAACACUUGAGUAACCUGCCCUUGACUUUGUGAUAACUUCAGGAAACUGGGGCUAAUACCGGAUAGGAGCUCCUGCUGCAUGGUGUGGGUUGGAAAGUUUCGUCGGUUGGGGAUGGACUCGCGGCUUAUCAGCUUGUUGGUGGGUUAGUGGCUUACCAAGGCUUUGACGGGUAGCCGGCCUGAGAGGGUGACCGGCCAAAUUGGGACUGAGAUACGGCCCAGACUCCAACGGGAGGCAGGAGUGGGGAAUAGUGCACAAUGGGCGGAAGCAUGAUGCAGCAACGCAGAGGGCGGGAUGACGGCCUUCGGGUUGUAAACCGAUUUCGCCUGUGACGAAGCGUGAGUGACGGUAAUGGGUAAAGAAGCACCGGCUAACUACGUG
rnacentral:rRNA from 1 species